rnacentral:rRNA from 1 species
CAACCAUUGUAACUUACAGGCUCCCCCCACCUACUUGUAUACCACCUGAGUACAAACCCUGGACCCAAAAAGCAGCUACACAUAAUUAUACAAGAAGAAAAGCUCGAAUACCCAAAUUAUCUGCAGCAAUAUGAAGAGCACCCCCGGCGUUGUACACAUCAGCUUGGGGGAAAUCCAGCGCGCGAUGAUCCUUGGUUAUUCCCUGGGCCUAGCAAGCCACAGAGAGCUCAGCGCGCGCAAACGCGAGAAGUAGUCAUGUAUAGCCAAAAGGGCGCGGGAGGCCUGACGGAUCGUCAGGAUCCGCUGCAUCUGAUGCAAGGUCUGCUGUCGCAGGUUGCCUGCCUGGCGAAGAAAGUUCUCGAGCGUUCCAAGCUUGCCCAUGGCCAUGGCCAUCUGACCCAUGUAGUUUGCAA